UACGGAGGGUGCAAGCGUUGUUCGGAUUGACUGGGCGUAAAGGGCGUGUAGGCGGUUGGUCAAGUCCGAUGUGAAAGCCCGGGGCUCAGCUUCGGAAGUGCAUCGGAAACUAGCCAGCUGGAGCGCGAUAGAGGAGGGCGGAAUUCCUGGUGUAGCGGUGAAAUGCGUAGAUAUGUGGCGGAACACCGAUGGCGAAGGCAGCCCCCUGGGCUGAGAUUGACGCUCAGGCACGAAAGCGUGGGGAGCAAACAGG
rnacentral:rRNA from 1 species